rnacentral:rRNA from 1 species
AUUGAACGCUGGCGGCAGGCCUAACACAUGCAAGUCGAGCGGUAGCACAGGGAGCUUGCUCCUGGGUGACGAGCGGCGGACGGGUGAGUAAUGUCUGGGAAACUGCCAGAUGGAGGGGGAUAACUACUGGAAACGGUAGCUAAUACCGCAUAACGUCGCAAGACCAAAGAGGGGGACCUUCGGGCCUCUUGCCAUCAGAUGUGCCCAGAUGGGAUUAGCUAGUCGGUGGGGUAAUGGCUCACCUAGGCGACGAUCCCUAGCUGGCCUGAGAGGAUGACCAGCCACACUGGAACUGAGACACGGUCCAGGCUCCUACGGGAGGCAGCAGUGGGGAAUAUUGCACAAUGGGCGCAAGCCUGAUGCAGCCAUGCCGCGUGUAUGAAGAAGGCCUUCGGGUUGUAAAGUACUUUCAGCGGGGAGGAAGGUGUUGAGGUUAAUAACCUCAGCAAUUGACGUUACCCGCAGAAGAAGCACCGGCUAACUCCGUGCCAGCAGCCGCCGUAA